UACAAUAUUAUAAUAAAAAAAUUAUGAGUGGAUUUAGUAACAUAAAAAAAAUAGUAGGAGAUAUAUAUAAAGAAAAAAUAAACAACAACGGUUUAAUUAAUAAUUUCUCUGAUAAUAUUUUGGCUGGUAACAUUUUUUCAAACAAUCAGUCGGGAAAUAGCCACGAUAGUACUAGCCACUUUGAUAAUAACCACUUUAAUGAUGACAGUUUUAGUAACAACUUUCUGAGUAGUAGUAAAAAUGAUUUAAGCUGUGACUAUCCAAACAUCGUACACAUAAACAAAAGUUGUGAUGUUAUGAGUGACAGCAAAAAAAUAUAUUUAUCAAAAAUAGUGCCUUGGAAAAAAGCCGACAUAAUGAUUUCAAAAAUAUAUCGUAUAAAAUAUAAUCAGGGGUUUCCUAUAAAUUUACCGAACGAGGAAAUAAAUAAAAAUGUUUAUAAAAAAAUAAUCGAAUUAAAUGUUAAUAAAACAAAAAUUUUAAAUACUAAUAUAUUAGAAAAUUAUAAUUUCAAUUGGGAAAAAAAGAAAGAACAAAGUGAAAAUAUAAUGAAAGAAGAUAACAAUUUAAAAGUGAUGAAAAAUUAUUUAGUGCCUGUUUAUAUGUCUGAACAAAUUUUCUGGAAAGUUUAUUUUUUUAAUAUAGAUAUUAUUUAUAAUGAAUUAGCAGAUUAUAUUUACGAGAAUAAAAAUACAAAUAUUUUUAUAAAAGGUAAUGCUACACCUCAACAAAGUAACAUACCAUUUAACCUACAUGAUGAGCACAAAACAAAUAAUAAUAGUACUAACAAUUUUAAUGAUUCAUAUGAUGCUACUAAGAGCAGCAAUAAUAAUAAAGAUUUAUAUAAUGGAACUUUUGAAAAUAAAUCACAAUAUGAAAUUAACGGUGAUUCUGAUUUUUUUUAUGAAAACCAAAAUAACAUAAAUUUUAAUUUAAACAUGAAUCAACACAUGUCAAAAACUAAUAACCACAUCAAAAACAUUUUUUAUGAAUUUAAUGGUAAUGAGUGUCAGGUAAAUGAUAUUAUGCAUAAAAAUGAUAAUAGUAAUGUUUUUGAGGAUGUUGAAAAUAUAAAUAAUAUCCAACAGGACGGACAAAAUGACCAAGAGACUUUGUUACAAAACCAAAAAAAAAUAAUAAAUGAAUAUCAUCAUUCUUUUGGUGAUAUAACAAAAGGUGAAUAUAAUAUAAAUAAAAAGAUAAAUGACAUUAAUAAUAUUGGUAAAACUGAUAGUGAAACAAAUUUAGACACGUUCUCUUGUUCGUUUAAUUCGAUAAGAAAACGAGAAGAUAUGGAUACACCAAAUGAUGGGGACAUAUCACAUAAUGUCUAUACUCCAUUUGAUAUGCUUAAUAAUAAAAAGAAGGACAAUAUACAGACGUAUGAAUACACAAAUAAUAAAAUAACAAAUACAGGCGACGAUGUUUGUGACAAAUUUAAUAGUAAGCAUAAUAGUAAGCAUGAAGGUGAACAUGAGGGUGAACAUGAGGGUGAACAUGGGGAUGAACAUGAGGGUGAACAUGAAGGUGAGCAUGAAGGUGAGCAUGACGAGAGCAAUAUCAACAGAAACAGAAGUAGUAAUACAAUGGAUAUUCGUACAGAUGCAUCAACAUCAACUGAAGAUGAAGACUUGAUUAAAGAGACCCAAAUUAACGGUACGAAUAUUUAUAUAGAUAAAGAUAUUUACUUAAAUUUAAAAAACAAAACUAAUAUGUUCACACAGGUUGAUAAUGAUAGUCGUAAAGACGAGCAGAAAAAAGAAAUUGGUAGUAAGGAAUGCGAAUCAUUUCCUCUUGUCCCCAAUACUACUAAUAAUACAAUAGACAGUCAAUUACCUACUGUUAAACAUAACGAAAAAAAUGAUGAACAAACAAAAGUAAAUAAUUUUAUAAAGGAUGAAGAAUUAUUAUUAAAUAAACAAACUGAAACAAGAGACAAUUAUUUUGAUAGAUUAUUAAAUAUAACAGAAAACGAAAAACCAUGUAAUAAUAACAAUAAUCAUAACAAUACAACAACAACAACAACAACAGCAACAACAACAACAGCAACAACAACAACAGCAACAACAACAACAAAAACAGUAACGACAGCGACUUCUAAUUGUUUAUUAAAAUUAAAUGAUAUUAAUAUGACUGACUUAAGUUUUGAAGAAGACUUUGAUUAUAAUAUAGACUCUAAUAGAUUUAACGAGGAAGAAUUGGAACAAUUUGAAAAGGAUUUAUUAAAUGCUUAAUACAUGCACCUACACAUGCAUAUAUAUGUAUGUAUGUAUGUAUACGUUUUUUUUUUUUUUUUACGAAACUUAUGUUUAUACAUAAUGCUAACACAUUGUAUUAUGUACAUCCGUACGUAUGUACUUAUGUAUGUAUGUAUGUAUGUAUGAUUUUUUAUGUGAUGUUUUUCUUUUGAUUGCUUUUUUUUUUUUUUAAAUACGUAUAUAUAUAUAUAUAUAUCGUACAAGUUUGUUCAUAUUAUAUUUGCUUCUCUAAGCGCUCAAUUACUCACAACUUACGUGUUUAUUUACUCAUUUGCUCGUUUUGGAUAUCUUAUGUAGCUUGUUUUGCUCACGCACAUUAUUUUUAUGCAAUUAACUAUUAUGUAAUCUUCUUGUGUUAUUUAUUUUGUUACUUUAUUAAUUUGUAAAAUAUUGUCAUGUAUUUGUUAAAUAAGUUUAAUGUUUUUUAUUUUUUUUUAUUUU
ensembl:lncRNA